UCUGACGUUCUCGCGGGACUACCAAAACCGGAUUCGCUAGUAAAAAUGAAACAUCGAAAUAGUCAAACUUAUUUUCCUUCGUUUAUACAACAAAAUCUAGUCAGUGCCAAGAAUAUUGCGAUUCACAUUGAUUGUCAGCAGGGAGUCGAGCAAAAAUCCCCCAAAGACGUAUGUACAUAGCUUAAAUCGUUUUCAUAUCAGUAGGUAUUCCGAAGCUGUAACUAGAACAAACUUAAAUUGUGAGAAUAAAAUCAAGAAGGGACACAAUUUCCGCGGCCUUGAUAGAAAUCAUUAAAAUCUCAGAUUUUUGUUGCAAACUUUAUGUAGAUUGCAUUCACCCGUGCGCCCAUUUCAGGCCUGUGUUGAAGCGAACAAAAACGCGUUGGACUAUAGUGCGUUAUUCACGGUACGAGUUGAAUGGCGUCGAGCUAUUCAGUGAAUAGUGCCGCAAGCUAUUUCCGAGUCCCCUAUUCAAGUGGAACCGAGUCUAAUACAAGGUCACAUUGCUGUGGAUACAUCACUUGGGAAAUAGAGCUUCUUCUUAUUCUGAUGCCCGAAUCUCCCUUACGUCACACAUCUCCGGCGUGGCAGCUCUGCUUAAUUGGACUGCUCACCGUACUGACGUAGCAUUCAAGCUAAGUCUCGACUCACCGCAGACUUCGAGCAGCACUGGCACUUGCAAGCUGAUCUCAGCACGGACAACGCUAACUUAAUGACACGACCUCCGGUCUCGGAAGGGAGUGAUGUGACGGGUAACCAUCAUACAAACACAAGAUAAUUGACGUGAUAAGCGUGCAUAUCGUCUUUGCAAAUUUGAAAUCUCCUACAUAAAUGUAAGUUUUCGAGAAAAUCUAAUAAAGGUACGUCUUGAAAAAAAAA